UACAGGGGGGGCAAGCGUUGUUCGGAAUUACUGGGCGUAAAGGGUCUGUAGGUGGCCAACUAAGUCAGACGUGAAAUCCCUCAGCUUAACUGGGGAACUGCGUCUGAUACUGGAUGGCUUGAGUGUGGGAGAGGAAUGCGGAAUUCCAGGUGUAGCGGUGAAAUGCGUAGAUAUCUGGAGGAACACCGGUGGCGAAGGCGGCAUUCUGGACCAACACUGACGCUGAGGAGCGAAAGCCAGGGGAGCAAACGGG
rnacentral:rRNA from 1 species